UACGAAGGGGACUAGCGUUGUUCGGAAUCACUGGGCGUAAAGCGCACGUAGGCGGAUUCGUAAGUCAGGGGUGAAAUCCCAUGGCUUAACCAUGGAAUUGCGUUCGAAACUGGAGAGCUUGAGUGUGGGAGAGAUUGGUAGAAUACCUGGUGUAGUGGUGAAAUACGUAGAUAUCAGGUGGAAUACCGGUGGCGAAGGCGGCCAAUUGGCCCAACACUGACGCUGAGACACGAAAGCGUGGGGAGCAAACAGG
rnacentral:rRNA from 1 species